GACGAACGCUGGCGGCGUGCUUAAUACAUGCAAGUCGAACGGAAAGGCCCUGCUUUUGUGGGGUGCUCGAUUGGCGAACGCGUGAGUAACACGUGAGUAACCUGCCCUUGACUUUGUGAUAACAUCAGGAAACAGGGGCUCAUACCGGAUAGAAGCUCCUGCUGCAUGGGGGGGGUUGGAAAGAUUCGGCGGUUGGGGAUGUACUGGCGGGUUAUGAGCUGGUUGGGGGGGUAGUGGCAGACGAAGGGUUUGACGGGUAGGCGGCGUGGGAGGGUGGACGGGCACCAGGGGCCUGAGAUAGGGAGCAGUAGGCAAUCGGACGCAGCAGGGGAGAGUCUUGCGCAAUGGGCGGGAGUGUGAGGCAGCGGCGCUGCGUGCGGGAUGCCGUGCUUCGGGUUGUAAACAACUUUCGAAGGUAACGAAGCGGGAGUGACGGUACCGGGUAAGGAAGCACCGGCUAACUACGUG
rnacentral:rRNA from 1 species